rnacentral:rRNA from 1 species
UACGUAGGGUGCGAGCGUUAAUCGGAAUUACUGGGCGUAAAGCGUGCGCAGGCGGUUAUGUAAGACAGUUGUGAAAUCCCCGGGCUCAACCUGGGAACUGCAUCUGUGACUGCAUAGCUAGAGUACGGUAGAGGGGGGAUGGAAUUCCGCGUGUAGCAGUGAAAUGCGUAGAUAUGCGGAGGGAACACCGAUGGCGAAGGCAAUCCCCUGGACCCUGUACUGACGCUCAUGCACGAA